rnacentral:rRNA from 1 species
AACGAACGCUGGCGGCAUGCCUAACACAUGCAAGUCGAACGAGACCUUCGGGUCUAGUGGCGCACGGGUGCGUAACGCGUGGGAACCUGCCCUUAGGUUCGGAAUAACUCCCCGAAAGGUGUGCUAAUACCGGAUAAUGUCUUCGGACCAAAGAUUUAUCGCCUUUGGAUGGGCCCGCGUUGGAUUAGCUAGUUGGUAGGGUAAAAGCCUACCAAGGCGACGAUCCAUAGCUGGUCUGAGAGGAUGAUCAGCCACACUGGGACUGAGACACGGCCCAGACUCCUACGGGAGGCAGCAGUGGGGAAUAUUGGACAAUGGGCGAAAGCCUGAUCCAGCAGUGCCGCGUGAGUGAUGAAGGCCUUAGGGUUGUAAAGCUCUUUUACCCGGGAUGAUAAUGACAGUACCGGGAGAAUAAGCGCCGGCUAACUCCGUG